rnacentral:rRNA from 1 species
UACGAAGGGGGCUAGCGUUGCUCGGAAUCACUGGGCGUAAAGCGCACGUAGGCGGACUCUUAAGUCGGUGGUGAAAUCCUGGAGCUCAACUCCAGAACUGCCUUCGAUACUGGGAGUCUCGAGUUCGGGAGAGGUGAGUGGAACUGCGAGUGUAGAGGUGAAAUUCGUAGAUAUUCGCAAGAACACCAGCGGCGAAGGCGGCUCACUGGCCCGAUACUGACGCUGAGGUGCGAAAGCGUGGGGAGCAAACAGG